UUAACCUUAAUCAAUAAAAAAACCAUACUUUUAACAAAAAACAACAAAAAAA
rnacentral:sRNA from 1 species